rnacentral:rRNA from 1 species
UACGUAGGGGGCAAGCGUUGUCCGGAAUCAUUGGGCGUAAAGCGCGCGUAGGCGGCUAGAUCAGUCUGCUGUAAAAGUCAAAGGCUCAACCUUUGAAAGCCGGUGGAUACUGUCUAGCUAGAGUCCGGAAGAGGCGAGUGGAAUUCCUGGUGUAGCGGUGGAAUGCGCAGAUAUCAGGAGGAACACCAACGGCGAAGGCAGCUCGCUGGGACGGUACUGACGCUAAGGCGCGAAAGCGUGGGGAGCGAACAGG